UGAGAGAAGGAAAGGGAGGAAGAAAAGGAGGGAGGGACAGAGGAAGGGAGGGAGAGUGGGAGAGAGGGAGGGGAGGGAUGCUCAGGCUGGUGGGUGACCUGGGAGAGGAGAGGGUGUUUGGGACGGGAGAGGAGGCAUGGGAAGAGGAGAGAGGAGGAGGAGGAGGAGGAGUAGGAUGGAGGGAGGAGGAGGGAGGAGGAGUGUUCGCCAUUUUGCGGGUCUUUCAUCGUGGUGUGGGCAGUUGGUUGCUGUGCGUCGUGUGGGGAGGACCGACGCUCCUGCCGCUCCUCGCUGGCACCCACGCUACUGGGGCUCACUACCCUCUCGCUGCCCUAGGACUGUGCUGGUGUUGAACUCGUGACCCGCCUCAUUGUGGACUUGUUACCGCGGCGCCCUGCUCUCGCCUCACACCCGUCGCUUAAUGAGGCAGAAAUGAGGCCGCGAUAAAAAUUAAUACGCAUAUCAGGAAGUAUCACCCAUUGGCAGGAGAGGGAGCGACGACACACACACAGACAGAACCUUACAAGUCGAGCCUGCCGCGGACAACAAAACGACGGGGAUUUCACCUUCUGCCACCCCGUCUGCAGCCUUCUCAUCACCACCCUUCCUACCCUGGCGAGGACAACAGAGGAACUGAGGGCGCCGCGUCACCUUUGGCCUCCCCUGCUGGGUUGAGGGAAGCUGCAAUGUUCGGCUGAGAAGCAAUAUUGCACUUUCCCCGGCCUAGAGGGGGUGGAACCUGCUUCGUGAGACAACACCCAAACACUCGUCACCUUCUGCCUCCGUCCCAGCGCGAGCAAAGGAGAAACAAAUGCCAGUCGACGUGUUUGGUCUUACCGGAAUGGUAGAUAGAGGGUUCACUUAUCUUACGUGUCUUGCAAGGAAGAUGUCUGUUCUGGUUACGAGUGUUGUAGUGAAUUCCUUUGUUUUGUGUUCUUAGAUAGUCAGGAUUAUGGGUUAACUCUUAUAUUUGGUGAAGAUCGUAUGGCUAAAGUUUGUUUCUUAAGUGUAGUUAGUUUUUACUUCUUUAUUGAUGGUCUAGAUUAGUUUGUAGUUAUUUUUUCCCAUAGUUGUAUUGAUUGUGAGAGAGAGAGAGAGAGAGAGAGAGAGAGAGAGAGAGAGAGAGAGAGAGAGAGAGAGAGAGAGAGAGAGAGAGAGAGAGAGUUCGCAGCCAGUAUUUCAUCAUUAAAAUGCAGUAGACCAGGUGAGGACAAGUGCAUUCUUGUGGUUCAAAGUCAAAUUGCACUAGUCCCGGCCUGCUGUACUUGCGUCCUGCCUGCCCCACCACCACCACCACCACCACCACCCCUCCCAGUGAUGCACCUACUCCGUCAACAACUCGGAAAUACCAAGAUGAAAGGAAAGGAGGCUUACUCGGAUAUAAUGCAUAGUUUGAAGUUGCUCUUGUGAAUAGACUGUGUGUGUGUGUGUGUGUGUGUGUGUGUGUGUGUUUUUGUGUUUUUGAAUAUUUUGUACUUAUGCCUUCUGUUAAAUGAAUGCGAUAUAAUAUUGUUGUAUUGAGUGUAUUCUUAAGUUUUACACUUCCUGUUAGACUAAUACGAUGUAACAGCUCUGGCGAAUACGAUGUCAACUUGUUCUGGCUUAUAUUUUCUGUAUGUCACUAAUAUUGCUGUGUUGAGUAUAUUCUGGGUCUACCUGUUUUAAUUCUUGGCUUUUAUACUUUAUGUUAAACUAAUA